ACGAACGCUGGCGGCGUGCUUAACCCAUGCCAGUCGAACGGAAAGGCCCUGCUUUUGUGGGGUGCUCGAGUGGCGAACGGGUGAGUAACACGUGAGUAACCUGCCCUUGACUUUGGGAUAACUUCAGGAAACUGGGGCUAAUACCGGAUAGGAGCUCCUGCUGCAUGGUGGGGGUUGGAAAGUUUCGGCGGUUGGGGAUGGACUCGCGGCUUAUCAGCUUGUUGGUGGGGUAGUGGCUUACCAAGGCUUUGACGGGUAGCCGGCCUGAGAGGGUGACCGGCCACAUUGGGACUGAGAUACGGCCCAGACUCCUACGGGAGGCAGCAGUGGGGAAUAUUGCACAAUGGGCGGAAGCCUGAUGCAGCAACGCCGCGUGCGGGAUGACGGCCUUCGGGUUGUAAACUGCUUUCGCCUGUGACGAAGCGUGAGUGACGGUAAUGGGUAAAGAAGCACCGGCUAACUACGUG
rnacentral:rRNA from 1 species